AAGGCAAAAUAGAAAAGAAAAAAAUCUUAGAAAACACAGAAGAUAAGAAAAAUAAUAAGAAUUUUAAUUUAUUAAAGGGCUUUUUUGUCAACAGUAUAUAUUGAUAAUAAUAUACACAAGCUUUACAAGCUUUAUUUUUGUAAACACAGGUAUGUAUCUAUGAUACUUAUGAGUAACUGGGUGAAUGCAGGACUCUCAUAACGUGCUAUAUACAUUUUAACAGCUGCAUCAUUCUUUAUUGUACCCAGACUUGUUUUUGACUUUGUGUGUUGCCUCUUUUAGAGGCAUUUGUUUAAAACAAACACAGGUGUAAGGUCAAAUGUACUUUUAUCGUGAGGACAUUUAUUAUAAGUAUGUACUGUAUCUCUACAAUAUGUUGUAGAUAAUUUCUCCCACUAUGAGGGACUUCCUUUUAUUGAUGUGCCAUAACCAUUUCUUGUGCUUAAUUUGAAUUCUUUGCUUCAUGUUUCCAUCAGAUUUUUUAAACUCAGUGUGCAUAAAAUGUGAGGAUUAAGAGAAAACAAUAAAAAUAUAUAAUUGUGUUCCAAUGUUAGCACUGUGGACCAAAAUUCGACAAAAUAAUUGGUAUAACGGCAUUUAGAGCAUACACUUAUGUUAUUUUGACACAAGGGAUUUGUUUCCAAAAUCCUCUUCUAGAUAAUAAUUAGAAAUUUAACUUACUGGUCAGUAAACAUCAGUGACCAUUUUCUGUUCUUCCACAACAGAUUUACAGGUUUUUAGACUAAACUUUUCUGACAUGAGUGAAUAUUUAAUGGUCUAUGUUCAUAAAAGUUCAAGGCUCAUAAUAUUCAUGUAACAUUGCAUUGUGUCAUUGUUACUAUUUUCACAGCCUGUUUUAUGUGUUUUCAAAAACUAGAAAAUGUAAAUUCAGUUGAAAGCAGCUGAAAGAUGAAAAGGUUAAGUUGGAAAGAUUAAAACAGUUUGAUUGAUCAGAAAAAUAAAGCUUUCAAAAGUGUUUCACUCUCCAAAGUUCUAAGAUUAAUAUCUGUCUUUCUGUAUUUUCAAAAUGCCUCAGGUGGAAUCAGUUCAGGCUUUAAUGAAGAGAGGAAACAUUUCUACAAAAAGUGUACAAAAAGAGUGAUCAAGUUCUAAGUGAGCACAAGACAGCACAAACUACACUAUGCACAAUGUGUUCCAACAAAACACAGAUGAUACCAAAAGAGAAAAAGAAAGCUUAUGGACCAGCUGCAUGUGAGGAAGGCAAGAACGUGUUGUUUCCUGGAAAGACUGUGGCCUCUAAGAUCUGCGUGCCUGCCACAUCUUCAUUUGAAGCUCCCAGUCCGUCUACGCAUGGAAAUCCUGAACAAUGGGGUGUCUACUUGCUGAUAGGCAUCUGGAAAGCAGAGCAGGAGAAGUCCAGCCCUCCACACCAAAGGGAGAAGAAAAGACUGAGUUCACCCUCUGAGACCACUGCCUACAGUAGGCACAGUACUCCACUUCACAAGCAGAGACCCCGCUGUCCCCACUCAACCUCCAAAAACAGAGGGAGGGCAGAGGUGCAGCUCUCCCUGAGUUCAAGAGAUGUAAAACUGCAACAGACUGUCCUGUCAGAGCCAGCAGAGGCCCUAAAUACAACAGUGAUCUAAAGCCCAAAUGAUGCAACAUGCAUCCUCUUUGAAUAAAAUCUGUAAAUUUGA